CAAAACAAAACAAAACAAAAAACAGAGGAACCUUAAAUGCAUACUGCUCAGUGAAAGAAGUCAAUCUAAAAAGGCUCCAGGUUGUAUGAUCCCAACUCUAGGACUUUUUCAAAAAGGCGAAACCAUGGAGACAAAGAAAACAUCAAUGGUUGCUAGGCAUUAGGGUGGGGGGAGGAAGGACUAGGUAGAACACAGAAGAUCUUUAGGGCAGGGAAACCAUUCUGUAGGAUACUAUCAUGGUGGAUGUACGUGUUGACAUGCUUACCAAAACUCAUAGAAUGGACAAGAGUGAACCCUAAUGUAAACCAUGAACUUCAGCUGAUCAGAAUGUAUCCAUGGCUCAUCAACUCUUACUGAUGUCUGCAAGGGAGAACUGUGGGUGGAGAGGGGUUAUAGGGGGAUUCUCUGUACUUCCUGUGCAAUUUUUCUCUUUCUCUUUUUGUAAACCCAAAAACGUUCUGGAGGAAAAUCUAUGAAAAUGACAAAAAAAAAAUUUUUUUUUUUUUUUUGUAAACCAAAGUUGAAAAGACAUGGAAGCCGGCCGAGUUGUCAUUUGCAGGCACGUUGGGAACGGGAGGUUCAAAUAAGGAAACCAAGAAUACCUUGCGUUCGGAGCUCAGCCAGGUAUGCUCAGUAGAGUGGUGAUAUCCACCCAUCACACGUGGGGAACGCUGAGCUUGGAGACUUUGACUUUGAGGCUAGACGUGGGCGCUCGGGCCAGCGGCUCUGCACAGGGCCGCCCGCCUCCACCUAUGUGCCUGGUCUUCCUCUGCAAGAAGGAAUCCGUGGAAGCGGCCCCGGGCCCAAAGCGAUGCUUCUCGAUGUCACGCUGAGCCGGGAUUUUAAUCUGGAAGUUUGAGACGUGCUUCGCAGUUCAGUUUGCAACCGGGUCACUCUUUUGCUUCCCAGGACAGCCAUCCCCGGGACAGACGUGAGGAGACUGCUCAGCCUGGUCCCUGAAGAGGUCUGACGGGCAGGCACUGAGGCCUGCCUGUGACCCCCCUGCUCCGCUCAGGGGUCUCCAGCAUACAGAGUGACAAGGUUACGUUGAGGACCUCCUGUGUGCCUCGCAGACGGGACGCCUGAUAGGUAGUCCUGGGCUACAUGGAAAUAAUCCCCGGGCUCAUGAAGUACGGAUUUUAUUUAGCAUGAAGAUGGCCAUUGAGUAAACAAAUGGAUUUGUAAUUAUGAAUCGUCGUAAGUGCUAUAAGAACAAAGAGCAGGAGGGAACUAUUUCGAUGGUGGAGUGAAUGACAGCAACUCCCCAGGCAGAGGGAUCCCUGGGUGUGAAGGCCGUAGGGUGGGAAAGGACUUAAUGAGUGAAGGGGGGAGAACGAAGGCCAGUGGAUCUGAGUGCGGUGAGCCCUGGGAUGCGGCAGGUGUGUGACGGCCAGAGGCUCGCGGGCUACCCCGGCCGGUAAAGGAGCUGCCGUCACGGGUGACCCCUUGGUCACUUGAAUGUGGCCCCUCUACACUGAGAUGUGUGGCACAUGUACCCACACACAGACUUUUAAAGACUUGGUGGAGAAAAAAAUGUGAAAGACCUCAGCAAGUUUUUAUACUGAUUGUACAUUGAAAUGAUAUUAUUUUGGAUAUACUAUAUUGGGUUAAAUAAAAUAUGUCAUUAAAGUUAA